rnacentral:SRP_RNA from 1 species
UCCAUGGUGGCACAUACUUGUAAUCCCAUCUACUGGAGGAGCUGAGGCUGGUGAACUCUCGAGCUCAGGAGUUCUGAGUAACAGUGGGCUAAGCCAUACUAAAUUCAGCAUUAAUAUGGUGAGCGCUCUAGACUGGGGGACCACCAGGUUGCCUAAGAAAGGACAAAGCAGUCCAAGUGGGAAAUGGAGUGGGUCAAAGUUCCUGUGCUUAUCAGAAUGGGAAGAGGUUUGCGAAUAGCCCCUGAACUUCCAGCCUGGGAAAGAUAGGGUGAUCCAAUCAGA